rnacentral:rRNA from 1 species
AACGAACGCUGGCGGCAUGCCUAACACAUGCAAGUCGAACGAGACCUUCGGGUCUAGUGGCGCACGGGUGCGUAACGCGUGGGAACCUGCACUUAGGUUCGGAAUAACUCCCCGAAAGGGAUGCUAAUACAGGAUAAUGUCUUCGGACCAACGAUUUAUCGCUUUUGGAUGGGCCCGCGUUGGAUUAGCUAGUUGGUAGGGUAUAAGCCUACCAAGGCGACGAUCCAUGGCUGGUCUGAUAGGAUGAUCAGCCAGGCUGGGACUGAGACACGGACCAGACUCCGACGGGAGGGAGCAGUAGGGAGUAUUGGACGCGGGGCGAAAGCCUAAUCCAGCAAUGCCGCGUGAGUGAUGAAGGCCUUAGGGUUGUAAAGCUCUUUUACCCGGGAUGAUAAUGACAGUACCGGGAGAAUAAGCUCCGGCUAACUCCGUG